CUUGCCUUUCAGAGGGGGAUAACACAUCGAAAGGUGUGCUAAUACCGCAUGAAAUGACGGGAUCGCAUGAUCCUGUUAUCAAAGGAGCAAUCCGCUGAAAGAUGGGCUCAUGUCUGAUUAGAUAGUUGGUGAGGUAACGGCUCACCAAGUCGACGAUCAGUAGCCGGACUGAGAGGUUGAACGGCCACAUUGGAACUGAGAGACGGUCCAGACUCCUACGGAAGGCAGCAG
rnacentral:rRNA from 1 species